UCUGAUUUCAGAGCGGCCGAACCCGAAGAACCUUUCCUUUCCUCUGCGUGAAACCAUUGUUGCAGCCAUCCUUGUUCUUCUUCAGCCGUCGCGCCGUCGUCCUCGUCACGCAAGCAGCAGUUCGUGCAGAUCAUCAUCCAUAUUUCUGGAGUAGGUUGCAGCUUCGCACUCCUUUUUUUUCUCCCAUUGACGCAGCCGUCCGUGCACUCCUCCUCGUCAGUUUUCCAUUGAAGACUCUCUCUGUGCCAAAGAAAUUGUGGAUCAAGAUGGGAAGUCGUCACUUCUUUCCCCUGUGAAAGCGUUCGACUCUGUUGUUCUUGCCAUCUAUGAAGGUUUCUGCAACUUGAAACAGGUUCAUUUCUCGCAAAUUUUUGUUCUUUUAUUCGUUGGGAUUUUGUUGUCCUUUUGUAUAUUUAGUUAUAUCCUCUGGUUGUUUGCUUAGAAAAUGAAAGAGUGAAAGCACGAAUCAUAUUUUAUUUUA